UGUGGAAGCGUGAAGCCGGUGGGGAAAGUGGUGGAGCUGCGGUGGUUUGCGGGGGGAGAAGGCGCUGAGGGUGCGGGCGUUGCCAGCAAAAUGCUUAGACAUCCAGAGAGUGGUGGGCAGUGGAUUAAUUCUGUAACUAAGGGGCAGAACAGAGGCACUUUAACAGCAGACAUCUGGGAGUUGCAGGGCAUGGCACAGCAGUGAGCUGUAAGAGGUUGGGUGUUUGCUUUCCCUUUAACCGGGGCUGAAGGCAGACAGCAGGGGAGGCUGCAGGCAGUGAAGGAGCCGCAGUGUGAGGCAGCAGCUGUGGGAGAUGUGUGUGCUGAGAGCAAA